AGUGAACGCUGGCGGUAGGCCUAACACAUGCAAGUCGAACGGCAGCACAGUAAGAGCUUGCUCUUACGGGUGGCGAGUGGCGGACGGGUGAGGAAUACAUCGGAAUCUACUUUUUCGUGGGGGAUAACGUAGGGAAACUUACGCUAAUACCGCAUACGACCUACGGGUGAAAGCAGGGGAUCUUCGGACCUUGCGCGAUUGAAUGAGCCGAUGUCGGAUUAGCUAGUUGGCGGGGUAAAGGCCCACCAAGGCGACGAUCCGUAGCUGGUCUGAGAGGAUGAUCGGCCCCACUGGAACUGAGACGCGGCCCAGACCCCUACGGGAGGCAGAAGUGGGGAAUUUUGGAAAAGGGGGGCAAGCCUGAACCCGCCAUGCCGGGGGGGUGAAGAAGGCCUUCGGGUUGUAAAGCCCUUUUUUUGGGAAAAAAAAGCAGCAGGUUAAUACCCCGUUGUUUUGACGGUACCAAAAAAAAAAGCACCGGCUAACUUCGU
rnacentral:rRNA from 1 species